CUGGGCGUUAAGUUGCAGGGUAUAGACCCGAAACCCGGUGAUCUAGCCAUGGGCAGGUUGAAGGUUGGGUAACACUAACUGGAGGACCGAACCGACUAAUGUUGAAAAAUUAGCGGAUGACUUGUGGCUGGGGGUGAAAGGCCAAUCAAACCGGGAGAUAGCUGGUUCUCCCCGAAAGCUAUUUAGGUAGCGCCUCGUGAAUUCAUCUCCGGGGGUAGAGCACUGUUUCGGCAAGGGGGUCAUCCCGACUUACCAACCCGAUGCAAACUGCGAAUACCGGAGAAUGUUAUCACGGGAGACACACGGCGGGUGCUAACGUCCGUCGUGAAGAGGGAAACAACCCAGACCGCCAGCUAAGGUCCCAAAGUCAUGGUUAAGUGGGAAACGAUGUGGGAAGGCCCAGACAGCCAGGAUGUUGGCUUAGAAGCAGCCAUCAUUUAAAGAAAGCGUAAUAGCUCACUGGUCGAGUCGGCCUGCGCGGAAGAUGUAACGGGGCUAAACCAUGCACCGAAGCUGCGGCAGCGACGCUGAUGCGUUGUUGGGUAGGGGAGCGUUCUGUAAGCCUGUGAAGGUGUGCUGUGAGGCAUGCUGGAGGUAUCAGAAGUGCGAAUGCUGACAUAAGUAACGAUAAAGCGGGUGAAAAGCCCGCUCGCCGGAAGACCAAGGGUUCCUGUCCAACGUUAAUCGGGGCAGGGUGAGUCGACCCCUAAGGCGAGGCCGAAAGGCGUAGUCGAUGGGAAACAGGUUAAUAUUCCUGUACUUGGUGUUACUGCGAAGGGGGGACGGAGAAGGCUAUGUUGGCCGGGCGACGGUUGUCCCGGUUUAAGCGUGUAGGCUGGUUUUCCAGGCAAAUCCGGAAAAUCAAGGCUGAGGCGUGAUGACGAGGCACUACGGUGCUGAAGCAACAAAUGCCCUGCUUCCAGGAAAAGCCUCUAAGCAUCAGGUAACAUCAAAUCGUACCCCAAACCGACACAGGUGGUCAGGUAGAGAAUACCAAGGCGCUUGAGAGAACUCGGGUGAAGGAACUAGGCAAAAUGGUGCCGUAACUUCGGGAGAAGGCACGCUGAUAUGUAGGUGAAGUCCCUCGCGGAUGGAGCUGAAAUCAGUCGAAGAUACCAGCUGGCUGCAACUGUUUAUUAAAAACACAGCACUGUGCAAACACGAAAGUGGACGUAUACGGUGUGACGCCUGCCCGGUGCCGGAAGGUUAAUUGAUGGGGUCAGCGCAAGCGAAGCUCUUGAUCGAAGCCCCGGUAAACGGCGGCCGUAACUAUAACGGUCCUAAGGUAGCGAAAUUCCUUGUCGGGUAAGUUCCGACCUGCACGAAUGGCGUAAUGAUGGCCAGGCUGUCUCCACCCGAGACUCAGUGAAAUUGAACUCGCUGUGAAGAUGCAGUGUACCCGCGGCAAGACGGAAAGACCCCGUGAACCUUUACUAUAGCUUGACACUGAACAUUGAGCCUUGAUGUGUAGGAUAGGUGGGAGGCUUUGAAGUGUGG
rnacentral:rRNA from 1 species